UCAAAUGAACAAUAUACAAGGUGCACUAAACAUACACUGGACUCUGUUUGGAACGGGUCUAGUAAAAGUAUUUGUUAGUGGUGCGUGCAUAUUAUUAUGUGUACCUAUUUUAUUUUUCCUAUGUUGUUACCGAUCGAACCGACCGAACCCAGUAGAAUAAAAAAUAUGAUUACAUUACAUAUUCCAAAUGUGGCUACUACACCCUAUUGCCAAACGAAAGAAAAACAAAUAGGCUAUUAAUUGCUUGCUGAAAAUUGAACUACUAGCAGACCAAUUCGCCGCCAGACAACGGUCAUGUUGGGCCCCUCGGAAUCCUCGCUCCAAAACCCGAUGAAGCAGCUGAUGAUUAUUGAUGUGAUUGCAUCACCCGGUUACAUAGAAGCAGCUGGUGCUGUAUCGAAAUCAGAUACCACGAGCAGAUGCCGAUGGACGAGAUGCUGCCACCAUCGGCCAUAAAGAACCUGGGGAAAAUCAAUUUUAUUUCCGGCAAUCCGUUCGCACCUACAUUGGAUGUGAUAAUUUCAGGGCAAUCACGUUGCCUCCCAUUGUUGGAUAACAAAUCCCACGGACGUGCUUCAGCUUGGCACGAACCGGGUUUGGGAUUAUAUUGGCGACAACUUUGUGUACUAUUUGCUGCAGAACAAAUCUAACGGCAAGCUGCCCCCGACAAUCACCCGGCCAUCUUCUGUCUGGCAGAGGAAAUCACGCAAUUCA